GAUGAAGAACGUAGCGAAAUGCGAUACUUGGUGUGAAUUGCAGAAUCCCGUGAACCAUCGAGUCUUUGAACGCAAGUUGCGCCCGAAGCCAUUAGGCCGAGGGCACGCCUGCCUGGGUGUCACACGUCGUUGCCCCCCCAUCUACUCCUUCGGGAUUGCGGGGGGGCGGAUGAUGGCCUCCCGUGCGCCUAGCCGCGCGGUUGGCAUAAAUACCAAGUCCUCGGCGACGCACGCCACGACAAUCGGUGGUUGCGAAACCUCGGUUGCCCGUCGUGUGCGUUCGUCGCGCAUCGAGGGCUCGAAAAAAUGCUCGGCUCCGGCUGGGCUUUCAACGCGACCCCAGGUCAGGCGGGGUUACCCGCUGAAUUUAAGCAUAUCAAUAAGCGGAGGAA
rnacentral:misc_RNA from 1 species